CUACGGGUUGCUGCAGUGGGGAAUAUUGGACAAUGGGGGAAACCCUGAUCCAGCAAUGCCGCGUGUGUGAAGAAGGCCUGCGGGUUGUAAAGCACUUUCGGUUGGGAGGACUGCUUCUAGCACUAAUAUUGUUGGAAGUUGACGUUACCUUCAGAAGAAGCACCGGCUAACUCCGUGCCAGCAGCCGCGGUAAUACGGAGGGGGCAAGCGUUAAUCGGAAUUACGGGGCGUAAAGCGCGCGUAGGCGGCUAGAUCAGUCGGGUGUGAAAGCCCCGGGCUUAACCUGGGAACUGCAUCCGAUACUGUCUAGCUUGAGUACAGGAGAGGAGAGUGGAAUUCCACAUGUAGCGGUGAAAUGCGUAGAUAUGUGGAGGAACACCAAUGGCGAAGGCAGCUCUCUGGCCUGAUACUGACGCUGAGGUGCGAAAGCGUGGGGAGCAAACAGGAUUAGAUACCCUAGUAGUC
rnacentral:rRNA from 1 species